AUGAGUUUUGUAAGAAGCUGUCUCACAUACAACCUUCAGUAUUUUCCUUCACAUCUGGUUAUGGAAGCAGUUGAGACAUCAGUGCCUCUCAAAUGGUGCGAUUGGUCAUCUAGAAUACAUUCAGGGAACUGUGUAUACCCAAAAAAUGUGCAUGUGACCAAAGGCCAAAUGCACAAGCCAGGAGGCAGCUUCGACUUCAAACAAGACUUGCAGACUCACAUUUCCCAUCUCAGGGGAAAAUAAUCGUGCUUUCUUCCCAUUUACACCUUCAUGGACUUCUAAAACCGUUUAAGACUCCAGGCCAUGGAUCCAGCUGCUGCUACCAGGCAAGAACAGUUUGGCUGAUGUUCUGCUGACAGAGAACAAAAGGUGCUCAGUACACAGAGAAAAUGUGCAGGCAAAGGGCCAUCAGACAUACCUGGGCUUCCCAACAGCUUUCAAGUUCAGAGUUCUUACAGUUCCUGUAAUUCUUCUCCAGCAGAACAAACCUUUUGUUUUAUGAAGAAAUAAAAGGGAAAAAAGCAUUCCA
rnacentral:lncRNA from 1 species